rnacentral:misc_RNA from 1 species
AACAGAAAGAAUUUUCGCAAGAUUUCUGGACAGUUCUGGUGGCAACACAGAGAACAUGUCAAAACAAAACUUCGGAGUAAUUAAGCAAGAUUCCCCAGUGAGAGAAGCAGGGGCACAAGUUAAUCAGCAAGCACAGAUUAUGGGUUCAAUGAAUAAUAAUGAUACAAUGUUGCAUCAACAGCAGCAGCAACAGAGCAAUUUUUCCUACGCCGCUUCACAGAGUGUUUAUCAAAACCAAUCAAGGCCACCAUUACCAGAUCACAAUUCAGGUUCUGGUAUGGAUUAUAGGAUGGUGACUUCAAUGGGAAUGGAGCGAUUACCACAAAUGAAGAGUUCUAGUUCGAAUCUGGUUCGGCACAGUAGCUCACCUGCAGGGCUUUUCUCCAAUCUAAAUAUUGAAGUGGAAAACGGCUAUGCUGUAUUGAGAGGCAUGGGAGAUUUUGGAGCAGGUAAUAGAGAAACAUCUUAUUCUGCAGCUAGUAGGCCUCCUCCUUCUCUUCCUUCAGGACGAAUGAGUCCAAUUGCUGAAAUUGGGAACAAAAACAUUGGAAAAAAUAGCCCUGAGAAUAGUGGUUUUGGUGAAACUCGCAGCAACAAUUAUGUCACAGGUUUCCCAAUCGGUUCUUGGGAUGAUACAAGUGCCAUGUCUCCUGGUGCUGGUGUAAAAACACUAACAGAUGAUGAUAGGACUCUUUCUGGCCUAAAUGCAUUCGAAACUCUGAGCGGAGAUUCGAGAAAUCACCCUCCCAUGUUGGCUCAUCACUUGAGUUUGCCAAAAACCUCCGCUGAAAUCUCUGCCAUUGAAAAGUUUCUGCAAUUGCAUGAUUCUGUGCCUUGCAAGAUUCGGGCUAAGCGUGGAUGUGCCACUCAUCCCAGGAGCAUUGCAGAGCGGGUGAGAAGAACUCGAAUUAGUGAACGAAUGAGGAAACUACAAGAUCUUGUACCUAACAUGGAUAAGCAGACAAACACAGCAGACAUGUUGGAUUUGGCUGUUGACUACAUUAAAGACCUUCAAAGACAGGUCGAGACACUAUCAGAUAUUCGUGAAAAGUGUACGUGCACAAGCAAGCAGCAGCAGCAGCCGCCGCCNCUAGCAGAUGCCCAAGAAUGACUUGGUUAUAUGUAUAGAUUAUUUAGUAAGAAUUUGCAUAAGUAGAUGGUGUAAAAUACAAGCUGGCUUAUGUUUUGUACUAAAAAAACACAAAGAGAUAUGUAAUAGCCAA